rnacentral:lncRNA from 1 species
AUGUCUGGAUUUCUCCGUAGUGUGAAUAGAACUAGGGGGAGGGGAGGUCGCAUAGAGGAUGGAAGGGGAACUAACAUUACUCAAGUGCCUACCCUGUGCCAAGCCACCCUGCGAGAGGGACGCCAUCCCCAUUUUACAGGGAAGAAACCUGACGCGCAGAGGACCACAGAAUUUGCCAGGGCCUGUCAGCUGAACAGCGGUCAAGGCUCACAAGAUGAGGAGAGAGGACUCAUCACCAGGGCACGUUGCUGGUGUUUUGCUCCAAGAGGAAUUUGCUUUCAAACAGACAUGCAUUCACUCAUCUCUUUUCUUAAAAAAAAAAAAAAAGAAAAGAAAACCACAAACACAAAAUCUCUUCCAACUCAGCUGACUGAGUCCAAGUGGGGACGACAGCACCAUUCAGUUGCAUGAUCCCACAGAGCCAGUGUCCAGAAUGAAAAUAAAUGUGACUUUUCAAAUCAGGGCAUAGUGUCGCUUUGUUUGUAAUUCAAUUAAAAGACAAGCAUCACAAUGUUAUUGUAUGAGAGGGAAGAUAAUACAGAGAUCCACAUCUUUUGGGCUGUAAUACACCAAACCUGGGCUUGACAGAUGGGCAUCAGUAUCUUGAGAAAGCCAGAAGGGGACAGUUCUUGAUCUCCAAAGGGCUAUACUGAGUGUGGUG